UGCGGUUUAUUGGAUUCAACGCCGGAAACUCACUGGGAGCGACAGCAAUAAUGACAGUCAGGCUAACGACCUUGCCAGACAAGCUGAGAGGAGGUGCAUGGCCGCCGUCAGUUCGUACCGUGAGGCGUACUCUUAAGUGAGUCAACGAACGAGACCCUCACCUGCAGUUGCCAGCUUGCCCUCCGGGGCGAUGGGGACUCUGCGGGGACCGCUGGUGCUAAACCAGAGGAAGGAGGGGGCAACGGUAGGUCAGUAUGCCCCGAAUCUCCCNGGCUACACGCGGCCUACAAUGA
rnacentral:rRNA from 1 species